UACGUAGGGUGCAAGCGUUAAUCGGAAUUACUGGGCGUAAAGCGUGCGCAGGCGGUUAUGUAAGACAGAUGUGGAAAUCCCCGGGCCUCAACCUGGGAACUGCAUUUGUGACUGCAUAGCUAGAGUACGGUAGAGGGGGAUGGAAUUCCGCGUGUAGCAGUGAAAUGCGUAGAUAUGCGGAGGAACACCGAUGGCGAAGGCAAUCCCCUGGACCUGUGACUGACGCUCAUGCACGAAAGCGUGGGGAGCAAACAGG
rnacentral:rRNA from 1 species